CUGAAGGUGUCCUUUGCUGUACAGAAGCUUUUUAGUUUGAUAUAGUCCCACUUGUUCAUUUUUGCUUUUGUUUCCCUUACCUUGGGAUGGUGAUCAUUCUUUUGGCCAUAUUUUAUCAUUUCUCAUCCUUCAAAUAUUUGGAACUAGUUAAUUUGUUGAAAAGGGCUACCCUGAAGGUCCAGCACUGACCCCUGAGCAUAGUUACUCUUCGGUAAGGAACCUCACUGAGCUGGGUGCUGGACGUGCAUGAGACUGCAGAGGGACCUGAGGCAUUUAUUUGUUAUGGUCAUGACUCCCCAGAAUAUUUACUGUUGUUGUCUCAGUGCUUAUAUCUUUUGACUGCCUGAUUCCAGCUUCACAUGUUGCUUGGCCUUUGUGGGCCUUCCAUUUUGUUUGAUGAUUCCUCUAACCUAUCUUGUUCAAUUUUAGUUUGAUCACAUACAUCCAUAUUCCUAUUGCUAAUGUUCCAGAAGAUACAGGUUUGACUGGUUGCAUUUUUAUAAGCAUAUAACUAACCCCCAUGACCUCUGGGAUAAAGUCUGAUCUCCUUAGGUUACAUAUAUCCUUGCUUACCUCUCCACCUUCAUGUUUCUCCACUACCCAUUUCAUAAUUUGUGCCUUAUCAGAAGUGACCAUACUAUACUCAUUGUUUCCCAAGUAUUUCAUUCCAUAUCAUCUCUUGAAUCCCUUAGGUCAACUUAAGCUCUCCACCCAGUAUAUCAACCACACGCCCCUUCUUUGCUUUCUUAUUCAUACCCGUCCUUUAAGACACAUUUCCUUUUCUAGGAAGCCUUCUCUUCAUCUCCCAGGCUGGGUAAAAUGCCCUUCCUGCAUUCCCCAUAGCUCACUGCCUGCUCACCUCUGUCGUGUACUGACCAGUGGUAUUGAAGAGAGAUCUGUGCGUUGGUCUACCCUCUAGAUUAUAAGUUCCGUAAGGACAGGAAGCCCACUUUCAUCUCUUUGUUCUUUGUAUUUUGCCUAGUAUGUAAAAGAGAUACUCAACAGAAAGAUAAUUUGUUAAAUCAACUAACUGAUUCCCUGUAGCCUGACUCUAGGGACUGGGAAGAAGACCUAUUAUUUUGUUGUGUUUUACACUUCUUUGGGAAAGCUCUCUAAGCUUGGCAUUUGUCGGGUAGGGAGGGAGGCUCUGGAGUGUUGAGGCCAUACACCCUGCUACUAAUUCAGGAACUCUUGUUGAAAAAGCCCAUUACAAGACCUGACUACAGUGUGCUUACUGUGGGACCUGCACCUCCCUGCGUCUCUCCAAGUGUCCAACCAGGAUACUUAAAGGUAAUGAGAUAUUAAUGUGUGAGUGUUCUUAAAAUAUUCCACUAUUCAAAUAGAAAGUAUUAGUGUCCUUUUACCACCCUGGUAUGUUUCCCAUUCUGCUUUGUGGCUCUCUACCUAUUAAAUGAGGUGAAGGGUUUAUUUUGAAGUUCAAGUCAACAGAUUCCUGUUCAUUGAUGGGCUGUAAGCACCAUGUGAGUACCAGGCUGUUAUCUGCCCACUUGCAGCCCCUUCAUUCCUAGUCUCCUGUUCUUUGCCAGGUACAUCUAAAAGUCCUGAAGAGAGGACCUUCAAAUCCCCGCAGCCCCUAAAUGAAAAGGCAUCACAACAAGAAGAGAUGAGCCCCUCUACCAGUGCUGUGAGGCUCCCGUAGUUCUCUUUGGGCUGCCUUCUCCCUCCUGGUGCCUCUGCCCUGCCCACCCCACCCACCGAUACGGCAUCCUGACAGAGAAACAGGAAUAGGCAGAGAAGACAAGAUGCUGACAUUCUGGGUAAAGGACCACGGCUUCCUAGAGGAUGUUUGCUGUCCCAGCCCUCACCUAGUGUGCCACCCACCACCAGCAGCACCCUCUUUCUUCUGGCUCACCGUGAGGACAGAUGAAGAAACUGAGUAUUUGUCAAGGCACACAGGUAAUAAGUUGAUGGAGCUGGGAUUCAACCCAGGAAGACUGGCUGCAGGGUCUAUACUUGUAAGCAUGAUGCUCUUUUGCUUUGCAUGUAUGUAAGUAUGUUCUGGUUUCUAAGCAUUUGCCCCUACUCCAAGAAGCAGUUUAUAUCAUUUUAAUUUAAAGCAAAGAGGAGAACAAUUUUAAUCCACUGCCCAAACCUUUCGUUCCCCCCUUAAGGGUAAAGGGUACUUUUCUGAAUGGAUGGAGGCCAAGAGAGAUGCUUUGAGCCAAAAGCUGCCUUUCAGUUUAGCUGAGGCAGGACUUAGAAAUGGUAUGAAUGGUGCCUGCAUUAGCCGAUGGCAUAGAGUGCUAGCACAGGAGAUGAAAUCAGACAUAUGUUUGGCUAUAAAAGUUCCUUCUUUUUCCUCUUCUCUAAUUUUAAGCCCCUGCUGCUUUGUUGCUGUAAAUCGGUGGAGCCUUAAUUGUGGGCUCAGGCUCCCUGAGGUAGUAGCCUGGGCAGAGUAAGGGCCCCCCCCUUAGCCUCUCCUAAUCUCUACCCAUGUCCACUGAAGGAAGCUGGAGCUUUCCACUUAUAAUGGUCAUACUCUGGACCUCCUCCCCAAAACAUCAGAAAUUGUGUUGCAGUGACUCUUCACUACGUAGUUCCUCCCAGCACCCAGCCAGUUGCUGGCCUCACUACAUGUUAAACAGCCUUGAUAAAGCUAGUAUCUCUAAGCCUUAGGAACUAGCCUGUCUACUCUACCUUCAUUGAUAAUAGAAUACAGCAUUAUAUCAAAUAGCGAUUAAAGGUCCUAGAGUAGAUCAUGGGAAUGGCAACCACCACAUGGCACUUUAAGAGCCAUGGCAGGGAUGGAUACUGUGGAGCAGAGGAGUCAAGGAGCCCCCUCACCCUGCCCCAGUUUCAUUGUUGAGCAAAAUAAGCCGAAACCACUCCACUGUGGGGAACUUGCUCACAUGGGUGCUUUAAGACCCCUGUCCUCUACUCUGCAAAGCUUGUAAGAGCAAGGUGGGGAUUCGGCCAGGCCACCUUUCCCACUGUGAAACACGCUGCCUCACCUACCUCACCCUUUCCCCGAUUAGCCAUCACCCUCUUUGGGAUCCUGCAGUUUGUCUACCAGUGAGAUGUCAGAAUCAGGAAGCUGUACAGUCCUAAAAGACCAACUCCUUAGUGAGCACACACGGUCCUUGGGCCACUAUGGGACCCCUAUAGUCAGAAUUCGGUCAGGCCUUAGAGCACAGUAAAGCAGGUUCUGCGGAGAUGGGAGCUCCAAGAGGUAGGAGAAGAGGACACAGUGCUGUCUGUAGGAAGGUCCCAUUCUCACUGUAUGUUGGCCCCGAGAUAGUCAGUAGGAGCCUGGUGAGGAAGCACAUACGACUUGGGAGUCAAGAGACCUGGGUUUCAUUCAGUCUCAGCUGUUCCACUAAUGUGUGACCUUGGAUGUACUCCUUUCAGUUUCUCUGAAGUUCUGUUUUCUUGGUUGUAAAAUGUGAAGGGAUUAAACUAAAUGAUUUUUCAGGGCCUUUAAAAAAUUCUGUAAUGAAAAUUCUCUAACUGCGUAUAGUCAGCAGCAGCCUUUCCUUCUAAUGGUGUUGCUAUAACCCCUCCCCUGAAAGGCGACUAACCCGUGUCCCAUUCUCAGGUAACAAACCCAAAAGCUGGGCCAGGCCUGAUCAUAAGUCACCAGCAUGGCAUUAAAGGCUGCACUGUAGGUGCUCCUGGGACACCUCUCUGAAAAGCUGUCCCGUGUGCCUGCCACCAAGGAGGAUAUACCCAGUGUUACAGCAAAGGAGGGUUGCUGCUCUAAAAGCUGAAAUGUGCCCAGAUGGAGAACGAGGCCCAGUGGAAAAGGAACUACCCUGGAAGCUCUAAGGACAAGGACACUUAAACCUAGGAACCAUAUUCUCAGUCUUCCCCAACUCCUUUGAAGUUCCUUCUAGAAAGCACUUCUCCCUCAGAUUCCAAGAAGUGAACAUGCUCAGCCCCCAGGAAAGUUUAGGCCCAUUUCUCUAGCUCUCCCCUCAGAUUGUCAUCCAGCCACAGACUCUUGUCGUUCCAGAGCAACUACAUAAUUCCAUGGCUGCCCAUACAGCUGUCAAAAAUAGAGAGGUGUUCGGCAAUUGGCUCCAUAUUCCCUAUUUCUGAAGCAACUACUUUGCUGUCUCUGAAUGUGUGCCCUAGAAGCUGUCCUGAACAGCUCAAGUUGUGUCUUGCAGCACUAGGAAAGGGGGUAAUUUACUGCUCUUCCAGCCGGUUCUAGCCAAGCCCAUCCUUUGCACUGCUACAGUUUUUUCUCUUUACUGGCAUAUAGGAUAGUAAAGGAGAGGCAGAGGGCACGUCUUUGGAGCCUACAAACAUGAGUGGCAGUUUCUAAGUGUGUGACCGUGCAUGCAUGCAGCCACAAACACUGAUAACAAGAAAUGAUACCUAUAUAUCCAGGAGAAUUAAGGAUUGGCUCUCUCUUAGCCAUUUCUUAUCCAACUGCUACAAAGUGCUCCCUGCCUCUCCCUGUUCAGUGCCAGAGAGAUCACACCCACUCAGUCCCAAUUCCCCGCAUUAGUAUAAAUACUAGCGCUGAAACAGACGCAGGGUCCCAGUUCAUGCAGCCUCCCUGUACGUCACUACUCAGUAAGCAUCAGGAGAGACACCCACCACCACCAAGACACGUUUGACUGUUUAGCACCCAGAGAACAGAAGCAGCACUGCCUGUAGGAAAUUUAAGCCAAACAAAAUUAUUGCCGACCUCUUAAAUCCAGGUCCCCCAGGGUCCCUGGGCAGAGACGGUGCUGCCCAACCUGCAGCUUCUGCUGAGGUGGCAUUUAACUUCUGGCUGGGUCCCAGGAGCUGAGGCUGACCCAUUUCCCCUGCUUUUCCAGGGCAUAGGGAAGUUAGUUCUACCCCCUAAAAAAACAGGGACUAACACAAUUAGCCCUUGGAAGGCGCACUAGAAUCGGGGUGCUUUUAUUUAAGCUAAGGAAAGAUUGUUGACAGCUUUGCAUUUCUCCACACUUAAAAGAAAUUCAGCAUUCUCUUCCCCUCCCACCUUACCUCUUCUCUUUAAAUGAAAUAACUUGGUUGAUGCUCAUAAGAAUAUAUAGAUUCAGGGUCUUAUUCAGUUUAACCCUUUGGGGACAUUGAAUUAAAAAGUGAACAGUAUUUAUUAAAAUACAAAAAUACACUUUUCUCACAU